rnacentral:rRNA from 1 species
GACGAACGCUGGCGGCGUGCUUAACACAUGCAAGUCGAGCGGUAAGGCCCUUUCGGGGGUACACGAGCGGCGAACGGGUGAGUAACACGUGGGUGACCUGCCCUCAGCUCUGGGAUAAGCCUGGGAAACUGGGUCUAAUACCGGAUAUGACUCCAUGACGCAUGUUGUGGGGUGGAAAGCCUUGUGCGGCUGGGGAUGGGCCCGCGGCCUAUCAGCUUGUUGGUGGGGUGANGGCCUACCAAGGCGACGACGGGUAGCCGGCCUGAGAGGGCGACCGGCCACACUGGGACUGAGACACGGCCCAGACUCCGUACGGGAGGCAGCAGGUGGGGAAUCUUGCGCAAGUGGGACGAAAGCCUGACGCAGCGACGCCGCGU